rnacentral:rRNA from 1 species
AUGAGCGGUCAAGUCAGCGUGAGGUGGAGAAGAUGUGGCGUUUCUGUUGGCGGCGCUGGGCCAGCAACAUCAGGCAGUGGACUACGGGGAGCUGCCGUGGGUGGUGGCUACAGUUUCCACGAGAGUGGGGUGGGGGUGGCACACGUGGGGGCGACGGCAGCAAGUGGAUCCGCACCGCUGAGGUGCACAACCACUCUGAGAAGACCACAACAGCAGAGGAGUGGGAUCGGCGAGAAGAUUGAAGGUGUUGCGGACCCUGAUACUCAAUUCCAACAAGGUCAUGACCUUUUUUUCCUUCUUUCUUUGUCGGUGGAUUUGCGGCUGCUGAGUUCGUGUUUGUGA